GGCCGCGUGGCGCAAUGGCUUAGCGUAUCGGAGUCCGGUGGGGUUUUCACGUGGUAGUUAUCCGGAGGUUGUGGGUUCGAGUCCCAUCGUGGUCG
rfam:Pneumocystis jirovecii RT7 supercont1.3, whole genome shotgun sequence.